GAAACACCCAGGGCAGUUUUGUUUGUGUUUGCCCCCCAGGGCAGAUCUUACUGGCAGACAAACGCUCAUGUGCUGGGCUAGAGUAUUUGGAACCUGAUCCUAUUGAAAAUCUGCCUAAAAGUAGCCAUGGCUACCAGAAUUCUAAUCCUACUGGACAAAACAGUAAGCCUCAGCAAGGCUGUGAUCAUUCCAGUAAAUGUUUCAGACGAAGUAGAAGAUCACAAUGUCUGUCAGGGUUCAGAUUUAAUUCAACUUCUAAAACCUGUGUAGAUAUCAAUGAAUGCAGUGAGGAUCCAGGGAUCUGUCAACACAGCUGUAAUAACACAAUUGGAGGGCACCAGUGUGUCUGUCCCCCGGGCUAUAAGUUAGGAAGAAAUGGCAGGAAUUGUGUGGGUAAGGCAGCUACACAAUUGUAUAAUGCCCCCCCCCCCAACACUGCCACUACCACCACC